CCUGCUUGUGCUCUCUCUCUCUGUCAAAUAAAUAAAUAAAAUCUUAAAAAAAAAAGAAAAGAAAAAUUCUAAAGGCCGGUCACCUAACACCAGGAGGCCACGCCCACAGCCACGCCCAGAGGAGGAGUCAGGUCACAAGCCACGCCCUUAGAACAUAUUCUAGCCACGCCCACGGGCCGUUUUGUUUCCCCAGACACGCCCUAGAUGUCGGAUUCGGUCCUGAGCCCAAAGGCGCUCCUGGUAGGCGGGGACUAGCGUGUUUCCGCCCGGUGAUUGGAGGACGCGGCCCGCCCCGCCCAGCUCUGAGGUUCCGCCUAUCCCGAUCCCCGAAAGCCUCACCUCUUCCGGCCCCGGAGCCGGAAGCGGAAGUUCCUGCCCGCGAGGCGGCCGGGACUGCCGGUGGCUCCAGUGUCCCCCGGCCCGGCGCUCGGCGGGGCGGUACGGGCAGAGGCCGAGCGAAGGGUGGGGCGGGGCUCUCGGGGCAGCAGGACGGGUCUUUUUGGCGGCGAGCCCCGGUGCGAGCCCGCGGAGGAGGCUCCGGAGGCCAGUGGGCCGCGGGGACCCGCGUUGGGGGCGCCGCGCGGUCCGUCCCAGGAGCCCGGGACCCCCAACGCUCCCUCCAGACGGGGCUUCGCGGGCGCGCCGGCCCCGGGCGCCCUCCGCCAGGGCGGGUGAGUCGCUGUCCCUCCCUCGGGGAGGCCCGGAGGCGUUGCGGGGCCGGCGUGCAGCAGGCGCUGGCCCUCGCGAAUCCCUGUUGCUGUUGGGUACCUGUCCGGACGUAGGGAGAGACCUCAUGCGGAAGAGCGAUCAUUGCAGAAAUCUCAGACAGCUGCAGGCGUCUCAGAAUUAAACCGAAAGAGCUUUAGAGCAGGCGGGGGAGGCAGAGAUGAGCAGAACCUUUUCUGGGGCGGUGGGCAGUGAAGCCUGGCCGUGUUCGGCCGAUGCCCGGGGGAAGCUGAUAGCGCGGCUAGGGUCCACUUUUUUAGUGCUUGCGCAGGGCUGGGGACAAGUGCAGGGUCCUGCGGGAAUGACAAAAGCCUGAAUCAAGUCUUGGUCAAGACCAAGCAGAGGCUGAGACAGGCGGUGGUGAAGAGCUGGUCAGGCCCAAACCUUGAAACGCUGAGUGAUGGGCAGGUUGUCGGGGUGGGUGAGGACCUGGAUUUUGGAACCAGGUGAUGGAAAUCAAACCCCACCACUGCCACCUGUUAGCCGUGUGACUUUGGGCAAGCGACGUGACCUCUCUGGCCGUGUUUCAGCUGUACCAUGGGCUUCACAGUAACUAAUACCUGCCUCUUAGGUCGUGGUGGUGAUUAAAUGAGUAAGAAGCAGAGAGGGAGCCUCUGAGGUUGGGGAACCCACCUGGGCACAGCUGGGCAGAAAUGUUCUCCUGAUGAGCAUAAACACUCUAACAGGCUGUCAACAUCAGGUGAAGCCACCCUUUGAUCCUUAUGGAUCGGGACAAACACAGAACAUUCUGUAACCCCUUAUUAGAAGGCAGACUGCUGGAAUCACAGCAAAGAUCAUCCCAUCCCUCUCCCCGCUGGUGGGAGUGAGGGCUGCUGCUUUGUCAGUCACAGCCUCCCCUUCCUGUAGAUGAGAUAGGCCAUCACAGAAUUACUCCAGCUUCGGGGCAGCACCCAAAAUCCCAAGCAAAGCCUGGCUCUCUCAAGCCUUCCUCAGUAUUCCCAAACCUAAGUUUAAACCCUGUGGUAAGUCCUUCCUAGCACCCUCUUACUGCGCCAUCCCACGGUUUGCAAUGCUGUGUGUUUUCUCUGGCCACCAGGAGUGAUAAACUGCUGUGCUGAGCCACAGGUGUGUUCCUGGUGGGCUUUGCCUGGGGAGGCAUUGACCGGGGCUAAUUCAUAAGGACUUCCGGCAGUUUCCGCACGUGGUAGGCAUUGUAUCUGUGCAGCUGGGAUCGUUAUAGUCGUCUGGCACGUGCAGAAGGGCACAGAGCAAAUCCCGACAGAUGGCAAAUCCUCAUCAUUAUCAGUGGUGAAUUUUCAUCACAAAAUUAUUUGCAAAUGCCAGUUUAAUUCUUGAAUCUUGUGUUCAGGGCAUUUAAAAUACUUCCUUCCAUCUGCAUGUUAUUUCUUGUUUAGUGUGAAGUAGUUCAAACAAAGGGCAGCUCAGAGGCUAAUAUAAUAAAUUCCCUAUAUUUGCCAUCCAGAUUUAAUAAAAUGUAACCCGGGCGUUUCUGAUGCAUAGAAAUGUAAAGUUUGUGUUUGAAGCUCUCUCUGGAACCCCUUCCUCCCUUCCCAGGGGUAUGCAGUGUUUAUUAUGCUUGUGUAUUUUUCCAGGUCAUGUCAUUACUUUUACCUCUUGUGCCCUCAUCCUUGAACAGCGCGUAUGGAGCUUCUGAGUGGUUUUGGAGAGCUUACCUAAAUGCAAAUGGUAUUGUCCUUCAUAUAGCUAUCCUCUUUUAAAACUAUGAACCAGUCAUUAAAAUUAUAUUGUAGGGGCGCCUGGGUGGCUCAGUUGGUUAAGCGACUGCCUUCGGCUCAGGUCAUGAUCCUGGAGUCCCUGGAUCGAGUCCCGCAUCGGGCUCCCUGCUCGGCAGGGAGUCUGCUUCGUCCUCCGACCCUAUCCCCUCUCAUGUGUUCUCUCUCUCUCAUUCUCUCUCUCUCAAAUAAAUAAAUAAAAUCUUUAAAAAAAAUAAAAAUAAAAAUAAAAAAAUAAAAAUAAAUUAUAUUGUAGAUUAUCUGACAACACAGGAAAAUGUAUUGUUUAAAGUUUUUAUUUUUUUUAAUUUUUUAAAAGAUCUUAUUUAUUUGACAGAGAGAGACACAGCGAGAGAGGGAACACAAACGGGGAGAGGGAGAGGGAGAAGCAGGCUUCCCGCGGAGCAGGGAGCCCGAUGCAGGGCUCGAUCCCAGGAGCCUGGGAUCAUGACCUGAGCCAAAGGCAGACGCUUAACGACUGAGCCACCCAGGCGCCCCUAAAGAUUUUAUUUUUAAGUCAUCUCUACACCCAACAUGGGGCUUGAACUCAUAACUCCGAGAUCAAGAGUUUCAUGUUCCACUGACCUAGCCAGCCAGGCGCCCCGAAAAUGUUGUAUUGUUAAAUAAAAAUGUUACAAAGCAGUAUGUAUAAUAUCUUUUUUUCUUUUUUUUGAGAGAGAGUGUGCAAGUGCAAGUGGGUGGGGGGAGGGGUAGAGGGAGAGAAUCCCAAACCAACUACUCAGCUCAGAGCCUGACACGGGGCUCGAUCUCACGACCCUGAGAUCCUGACCUGAGCCGAAAUCAAGAGUUGGACGCUUAACCAACUGAGCCACCUAGGCACCUCUAAUAUAAUCUUAAUUGUGUUUGAAUUUUUGUUUAAAUUAAUAGACUUUAUUUUUUUUAAGAUUUUACUUAUUUGUGAGAGAGAGAGCACAAGCAGGGGCAGGGGCAGAGGCAGAGGGAGAAGCAGGCUCCCCGCUGAGCAGAGAGUCCGAUGCGGGGCUCGAUCCCAGGACCCCGGGAUCAUGACCUGAGCCGAAGGCAGACGCCUAACGACUGAGCCACCCAGGCGCCCCAGUAGACUUUAUGUUUUAGAGUGGUUUUAGAUUUAGAGAAAAUUUGAGCAGAAGGUACUGUUUUCUUCAUAGGCCCUACCCUGCCUUUCCUCUGUCGUGAACAUCUUGCAUUCCUGGUACAUUUGUUACCAUGGGUGGUGAGCCGAUAUCGAUAGAUUAUUAACUGAAGUCCAUUGUGGACGUUAGGGUUCACAGCGCUGUAUUCCAUGGGUUUGGACAGAUGUGUAAUGACGUGUUGUAUCUGCUUCAGUGCCCUCCACGUCCCUGUCCUCUGCCUGUCCACACAUCCCUUCCUUCUCACUGACCCCCCCCACCCCCCCACAACCGCCGAUUUCCGUGCUGUCUUCAUAGUUUUGCCUUUUCCAGAAUGUCGUAGAGUUGGAAUCGUAGCAUUAACCUUUCUGGACUGGCUUCGUUCACUGAGUGAUAUGCAUUUGAGAUUCUGCCGUGUCUUUUCAUGGCUUUUCGGUGCUGAGUAAUAUUCCCUCGUCUAACUGUCCCACAGUUCAUUUAUCCACUUACCUACCGAGGGACAUCUUGACUGUUCCAGAGUUUGGCAGCUAUGCAUAAACCUGCUGUAAGCAUCCAUGCAUGAGGUUUUUGUGCGGACGUGUUUUCAACUCCUUCGGGUAAACGCCGAGGAGCACGAUGGCUGGAUCGUGGGCUAGGAGCGUGUUCAGUUGUGUCAGAAGUCAUCAGUGACUGAGGAGUGGCCGGCCAGCCUUGCUGCUGAACCAUCUCCUUGCUGGCACUUGGGCCCAGCGGCGGUGUCCGGAUAUGGGGCAUUCUGGCCGGCCGGGGCUGGUGGCUCCUUAAUGCUUUCACUCCCAUGUCCCCGAUGACGUGGGAGGGGGAGCAUCUUUCCAUGUGCUCUUUGCCCUCGAUGCAUUGUUGGCGAGGAGUCUGUUCGGAUCCUCUGCCCGUUGGUGAUGGAAUCACUUGUUUUCUUGUUGCUGAGCCUUAAGGAUUCUUUGUGUGUUUUCAGAAACACGUCCUCUAUCAAUACGUAUGUUCCACAAGCAUAUCCUCCAGUCUCCAGCCUGUCUUUCCUCUCUCAGUGUCCGUCCCACACACCCGGAGGUUUUGAUUUGAGUGAAGUCUGGCCGUCGGUUCUGUCUCUCCUGGAUCCUGGGGGCCCCGGGGGCGGGGGCAGGUGCAGGUGCAGGUGGUGGAGCCCAGGCUGCUGGGGUGGGUGUGGAUCGCACUUGUGAGCCCGCGGUUGACAGUCGGGGCCUUUCAGGUGGUCUGUGUGCCAGGAAGGGAGGGCAUGGCUGGGGGACAAGGGUGUUGGCUGGGGGUUCUGGGUAGGAAGACGCAUGGUCUGGGCAUGGGAAGGCCCACUGACCGGGAUGGUGUGGAGCAAAGGAACUUAGCCUGUCCCAGUUCUGGAGGUGGUGGGUCUCGGAUCCACGUGUUGUGGGGCCAUGCUUCCUCUGAAGGCUCCGGGGUUGGGGAGGGUCCUUCCUGCCUUUCCUCUCUUGGGCUGGCUGCUGGCCGUCCUGGGUCUGGUAAGGACACCAGGCACUGGAUAGAGGCUUGCCCUCUCCCAUCUGAUGUCCUCCUAACUAAUGACCUCUGCAGAGACCCUGGUUCCAGGAAGGUCGCGGGCUCAGGUAGCAGAGGCUUGGCAGUUGAACCUACCGUUUCACACAGUGGAGGGGAAACUCAGGUGAUGACAAGGCAGGGUGGGCAUGGAGGACGGAGCACCGGGUCCUCCCUGUCGGGGAUGGUGGGACCCUGGAUGUUGCAGGUUUGAGGCUGGGACUCAGGGCCAGAGGGAGGAGUGGAGUGGGUCAGGGGAGGGGUACGUGACAGAGACCAGACAGGAAGUUGCUCACAGCAGCUGGGAGAGGCUGCCCCGAGGAGAGCAGCAGAAGCAGGGUGGGAGAGCCUUCGGGAUUGGCCGGGACCAGGUCUCCUGCUCCCCGAGGGCGUGGGGUGGCGGCCUUUGUGCUCCUUGCAGACCGGCUCAAGACCUAAGGCAGGAAAGGGUCCCUGGCAUGGAGGCUGGAGGGUGGGGGGCGGCUGUCGAAGGCCCUCCUGGGGCCAAAGAGAGGUCUCUCUUUGUUCUCCCACCUGGAUACUUUUCCACAUUCAUUUAGGGUUCCUGGGCCCAAUUGCCAUGUGGGGAGGGGCUGGUCCCCCAUAACCCCGAGCAGCUCUCAGACCCCAGCCGGGUCCACCACCUCUUCCUCAGGUUCCAUUAAUUUACACAGAACUCAGAGAAGCAUGUUUCCCGAUUUGUGCAAGACUGAAUCAUCAGCCACAUGAAGAGAUGAGGUGCGUAGGGCGAGGUCCCAAACAAAGGAGCUUCUGUCCCUGCAGAGCUCAGCUCGGGACCUGCUCAGCAGCACGUGGGAACGUUCUGGCUCCCACGGGAGAAAGCUGUCACAAUAAAAAUGCCAAAAACCUGUCGUCCCGGGUUUUCUUGGAGGCUUCAUGACGUCACCCUGAUUGACUAAGUCGUACGCUUUGGCUGCCUCAGCCUCCAGCACAACUCCCACCCCCGCCCUCGCCCCCCCCAGGUUGAGAUAGGUGGGGUGGGACUGAAAGUUCUCCUGGCAGCUAUCCCCAUCCUAAGGUCACAUAAGGGCUUUCCAAAAGUCACCUCCUUAGCAUAACAAGACAACAAAAUCAACCUUCUAGGAAAUUCCAAGGGUUUUAGGAGCUGUGGGCCACAAGCUAUGGACAAGACCACAUAUAUAUGAGGAAUAUGUUUUGGUCACCUAAAUAUAUAUUUAAGUCCUCUGUACACCUGACGUGGGGCUUGAACUCAGGACCCCGGGACCAUGACCUGAGCCAAAGGCAGACGCUUCACGGACAGAGCCACCCAGGUGCCCCCACAACGCAUAUUUCUUACGAAUCCAGUACCACGUGCAUCCGCGUGGAUUCUCACCGAUUCACCGUGCUGCGUUGUAUCCCGCGUGUGGUCAGGAUGAAAUUUAUUCUCUCCGGCCCUUCAGUGCAGUGUUUGUGCAACUGUAAACUCUCAUUGCUUUGAUCCUUUCACAUCCACGCUUAGUAUCUGCUGUGGUCUGAAGGUUUGGGUCCCCCCUACAUGCCUGUGUUGAAACAUGACCCCCAGUGUGGGGGUGUCAGGAGGGUGGGGCCCCCAGGAGAGGGAUUAACACCUCCUCUAAGUGAUCCCAGAGAGCUCACUCACACCUCCCACCGCACCGCGAUGGGCAUCCAGGGACUCGGAAGUGGGCCCUCACCAGACUCCGAGUCCACCAGUGCCUUGACCUUGAACUGCUCCAGCCCCCAGAACCACGAGACAGGUCUGUGGUAUUCUGUGAUGGCAGCCGGAAAGGACUGAGACAGGGCCCACUUCUCAGAUGGGGAAAGUCUGUGUGCCAGUCUCCCACCCCAGCAGGACCUGGACCUGCCGCAGGAGGCGAAGCCACGACCCGUGUCUGGACAGACCUGGAUUUAUGCCUCCCAUACAACUGAAAGAAGGAGGUGAUGCCCAAAAAGCAUUUUGAUGACUGGGCUGGCUUCUUAUCCAACCAGCGCCUCUCAUUCUUGAGUCAAAAUCAGAGUCUCCCCUUUGCAGGGCUUACGAGCUGAAAUGUGUCCCCCACAAUUCCUACGUGGAAACCCUGACCCCCAGGGCCUCGGAGUGUGGCCUUAUUUGGAGAAAGGGUCUUUAAAGAGUGAUUAUGGUAAAAUGAGGUGGUUAGUGUGGGCGCCCAUCCAAUCUGACCGGUGUCCUUAGAAGAAAAAGGGGUUAGGGGACACCUUGACUCCUGGGGCAGGGGUGCGGGGAGGCGCGGGAGGGGCCGUUCACCAGCUGGGGUGGGGGUGGGGGACGUCUAGAAAGCCAGCCCCGCCCACCCCUGGGGCUCGGACUCCUGGCCUCCAGAACCAGGACAGCAGGCGUCUGCUGUUCAGGCUGCUCUGUCUGUGGUAUCCGUUUUAGUGGCCCGAGAUGACUAAUUGCAGUGGCUCAUGACGAAAAUUUAAUGAGCUCACCUGCCCGGCUGUCACCCCCAUGACCGCGUCACUGCUCAGAGGUGGUGGUGCCUCGUUAACAAGGCUCUGCUCCAUUUUCAAGGUCAAGUGGCUUUCACAUUAAGCCUCCUUCCCCGGGAUGGGGAAGGGUCGGAGGUUGGUGUCUGAUUGACGCCGUAGGUCAGUGUUAACGGUUCAGACGGGCCUCCAGAAAGCUCACUCCCCAGAGGGGCCAUGGGAUGAUGGGUGGCAUUCCUGAAUUGCCACUGCUCAGCCCAGCAGCGAUCCGCUGCCGAUGUCCCCGGAUUGGUGCCCCUGGAGGGUCGCUAGUCUUGGUGGUGUGGGCGCGUGGGCACCGUCCCAUCACACGGUGGUGGAUGCUUCAUGGUCAUGCCCGAGGCUGGCUGGAGGAAGGCCCCAGUGCCCCGCCCACUGGUGUCUGAGAUGGGGAGGGAGUUUUCGGGGGGGGGGGCAAUCCCAGAACCCCAUUCCUGAGUUCAUUGGCCACCCUGGCCUAGUCAGCAGCCAGAUCACUCUGAGCUAAUCUGCAAAAUGGGGAUGUUGCGGCCCCUCCAUGGGCCAUGCAGGCCCUGAGUGUGGCACCCUCGAGGACUAGGGGAGGAUGGGGGCUGCAUGGCCCCUCCGUCCCCGCCCGCCUGGCACCUUGUGCAUCCCCACGAGGGGAACGCAGAAGAUGGAAGGUUGCUGGUUUCUCUGGAGUUGGUCACAGAUUUUAUUUAUUUGACAGAGAGAGACACAGCGAGAGAGGGAACACAAGCAGGGGGAGUGGGAGAGGGAGAAGCAGGCUUCCCGUGGAGCAGGGAGCCCGAUGCGGGGCUCGAUCCCAGGACCUCGGGAUCAUGACCUGAGCCGAAGGCAGACGCUUAAGACUGAGCCACCCAGUUAUUUUUCCAGGAAAAAUGGGUUCAUCUGGGAAUAACGGAGAACCGUAAUAUGGGACACAUAAGCCACAACCAAGCCACAGGUAAGUCUGGAGAAGGAAGGGAGGACCACUCUUUUAUAGAGAAGGGGACAUGGGCGGGGCUGUUCCAAAGAAAAUGCCCAUUGGAGCAAACGGGAUUCCACAUGGCGUGGCUUCUCAUUGACUGAGUUGUGACUGUCUCUCAUUGGCUGGGCUGUGAGUGUCUCUCAUUGGCUGAGCUGUGGCCAUCUCUCAUUGGCUGGCCUAUGACUGUCUCUCACUGGCUGGGCUGUGACCAUCUCUCAUUGGCUGGGCUGUGACCAUCUCUCAUUGGCUGAGCUGUGGCCACAUCUCAUUGGCUGGGCUGUUGCUGGGGCAGUGAGGUCCCAGCAGGGUGCUGGGCUUCCUCCCUGGUCGGCCUGGGGGACCAGGGUAGGGACGAGGGCGCCCCCUGCUGGCCUCCAUUUUAAUAAGGCUUGCUUUUAUCAAUGUUCACUCCCUUUUUAUGGCUGAAUAACGUUCCAGUGUAUGGAGGGACACGUUUGUUUAUGCAUUAGCUGAUGGCCAUUUGGGUUGUUUCAGCUUUCGGGCUGUGGUGAACAUGCCGCUGCGAACAGGCAUGAACACGUUUUCGCGCAGACAUGUUUUCAUUCCUCCUGGGUCCUGGCUUGGAAUUCUAGUGGGUAUAUAUCUGGGAGUGGACUUGCUGGAUCGUGUCGUAACUCCACGUCCGACUUUCUAUGCAGAAAGAAUGUCUCCCAAAGGGUUGCACCAUUUAUACAUUCACAGCUGCGGUGUACAGAGCGCUCCAACGUCUCCGUGUCCUGGUCAGCACUUGUCAUCAUCGGUCUUUUUGAUAAUACCCAUCCCAGGGGGUGUGGAGUGGUGUGUUGUUAUAAUUGUGCAUUUCCCUAAUGAAUAGUGACGCUGAGCAUCUCUUCAUCUGCUUAUUAGCGAUUUGUAUGUCUUCUUAGGAGAAAUAUCUAUUAAAAUCUGUUGUCCAUUUUUCAUUUGUUUGGGUCUUUUUAUUUUACAAAAUUUUUGAAGGUUUAUUUAUUUGAAAGAGAGUGAGAGGCAAGCACAUGAGCUGAGGGAGGGGAAGAGGGAGAGAAUCUCAAGCAGAUGCCCCGCUGAGCAGGGAGCCUGACACGGGGCUGGAUCCCAGGACCCUGAGAUCACGACCUGAGCCGAAGCCAAGAGUUGGACACCCAACCAACUGAGCCAUCCUGGUGCCCCUGUUUUGAUCUUUUUAUUGUUAAGUGUUGUAUCUUUUUUUCUAAGACCUUAAAUAUAUAUAUAUGUUUGU